rnacentral:snRNA from 1 species
CGGCGGAUGAAGUUGCUCGACUGCAAGGAUGGCAUCAGCUAUGCCAGCGGCGGUCCAGAUUCGAAGGGGCACGACAUGACAAAGGUGGAGUUCAAGCUGGAGGACUCACAGAUCUAUGCCCGCUCGGACGGCGGCG